CCCCCCUACAAAGGCGUAUCUGUGGUUCCUGUCUUCGGACGUGUAAGAAUUAGGGGCAAAGAAAUGUGGAUUUGGAGGACUCUGAAGCCUGCUUGCUCCCUGAAGAUUCAAGGUCCACCAUCCUAUAUUG
ensembl:snoRNA